CCUACGGGAGGCAGCAGUGGGGAAUAUUGGACAAUGGGCGAAAGCCUGAUCCAGCAAUGCCGCGUGAGUGAUGAAGGCCUUAGGGUUGUGAAGCUCUUUUACCAGGGAUGAUAAUGACAGUACCUGGAGAAUAAGCUCCGGCUAACUCCGUGCCAGCAGCCGCGGUAAU
rnacentral:rRNA from 1 species